UACGGGGGGAGCAAGCGUUGUUCGGAUUUACUGGGCGUAAAGGGCGCGUAGGCGGCCAGCACAAGUCAGUUGUGAAAUCUCCGAGCUUAACUCGGAAAGGUCAACUGAUACUGUGCGGCUAGAGUGCGGAAGGGGCAACUGGAAUUCUUGGUGUAGCGGUGAAAUGCGUAGAUAUCAAGAGGAACACCUGCGGCGAAGGCGGGUUGCUGGGCCGACACUGACGCUGAGGCACAAAAGCGUGGGGAGCAAACAGG
rnacentral:rRNA from 1 species